ensembl:snRNA U1 U1 spliceosomal RNA
AUACUUACCUGGCAGUAGAGAUAAUAUGAUCACAAAGGUGGUUACCCAGGGUGAGGCUUAUCCAUUACACUGCAGAUGUGCUGACCCCUGCGGUUGUCCCAAAUGUGUGAAACUCGACUGAAAAAAUUAUGGUUGUAGGGGACUGUGUUCAUGCUUUCACCUG